rnacentral:rRNA from 1 species
GAUGAACGCUGGCGGCGUGCCUAAUACAUGCAAGUCGAGCGAACAGAUGCGGAGCUUGCUCGUCUGACGUUAGCGGCGCAGGGGUGAGUAACGUGUGGAUAACCUACCUAUCAUACUGGGAUAACUUCGGGACUCCGGAGCUAAUACCGUAUAAUCUAUUGAACCGUAUGGUUCAUUGGUAAAAGACGGCUUUGGUGUCGCUUGUGGAUGGUUCUGCGCCUCAUCAGCUAGUUGGUAGGGUCGUGGCUUACCAAGGCGACGAUGGGUAGCCGACCUGAGAGGGUGACCGGCCACAUGGGGACUGAGAUAGGGCCCAGACUCCUACGGGAGGCAGCAGUGGGGAAUAUUGCACAAUGGGCGGAAGCCUGAUGCAGAAACGCCGCGUGCGGGAUGACGGCCUUCGGGUUGUAAACCGCUUUCGCCUGUGACGAAGCGUGAGUGACGGUAAUGGGUAAAGAAGCACCGGCUAACUACGUG